rnacentral:rRNA from 1 species
GAUGAACGCUGGCGGCGUGCCUAAUACAUGCAAGUCGAACGCGCAGCGAAAGGUGCUUGCACCUUUCAAGCGAGUGGCGAACGGGUGAGUAACACGUGGAUAACCUGCCUCAAGGCUGGGGAUAACAUUUGGAAACAGAUGCUAAUACCGAAUAAAACUUAGUAUCGCAUGAUACAAAGUUAAAAGGCGCUACGGCGUCACCUAGAGAUGGAUCCGCGGUGCAUUAGUUAGUUGGUGGGGUAAAGGCUUACCAAGACGAUGAUGCAUAGCCGAGUUGAGGGACUGAUCGGCCACAUUGGGACUGAGACACGGGCCAAACUCCUACGGGAGGCUGCAGUAGGGAAUCUGCCACAAUGGGCGCAAGCCUGAUGGAGCAACGCCGCGUGUGUGAUGAAGGCUUUCGGGUCGUAAAGCACUGUUGUAUGGGAAGAAAUGCUAAAAUAGGGAAUGAUUUUAGUUUGACGGUACCAUACCAGAAAGGGACGGCUAAAUACGUGCCAGCCGCCGCCGUAA